CUCUCUCUCUCUCUCUAAACACUAGUCAUCCCUCUCUCUAUCACCAUGGCCCUCUGCUACAGUUUGGUCUUCCGUUGCUCAUAAAUCUCGGAUUCUCAGGUUCUCAAGCCCUCAUCCAGUAUCACUCACGUCAGAAUGUUGUUCAAGCAAGAAAUGCUUUGCUAAUGCCUAGCCCAAGAUCCAAACAGGCACAUAUGUGAUGUUAAUUCACAUAUAGGGUGUAGCUAAGAUUCUAGAUAUAUCAUUCUUAGCCAUUCAUGCGGAGACUCUACCAAUCAAGACAGUGAAUCGGAAAUGCGUAUCUGGACUUCAAGCACUAGCUGAUGUUGCUGCUGCAAUAAUGUCCAUUUUUUAUAUGAAAUCAGCCAGUGAAGUUCAAUCUCUUCAAUAUGCAUGUUUACGCUUGUGAAAAUGCCAAGUCCUUGAAGUUUUCUCUCAUGGACUUUGUUUCAAAAAUUCAUGGGCAUAGCAGCUAGAGUUGAGUCCAUGUCCAUCGAUUCUUGUGCUCCUAAACCUACUUUCAACCCUCAGAUGGGGCAGGUUCAUAUCCUUCUAAACCAAUAUCCUAAAGAUUGCUUGCUUCCCAUGGGAAUCACUUUAGAGAUUGUGGCAGAGCGGUACAAAAGUUUCACGCUUCGAUCGAGAUAAAGCCGCUCUUUUAUCUCAUAAAGAGGUUGCUGAGGCCACUACUGCAGGAAAAUUCAAUGAUGAGAUUGUCUCUGUACACACAGAUUUGGAUGCAAUGGUUUUCUUAUUGGAAACGUGAUUUAUAAACAUCCAAAGCUCCAGAACAAAGAUGGAUAUUGGGACUUCCUUGCAGGACAUUGAUGAUAAAAGUGGCAGUGAAAGAUUGGUUAUAGUUUUAGCUGAUGAAGGAAUUCAGCCUGAUACAUCUAUGCUUGAACCUUCAUUCAAAGAUGGUGGAACUGCCACUGCAGGUAAUUCUAGUCAAGCUAGUGAUGGUGCUGCAACUGUCCUGCUCAUGAAACGAGAAGUUACACUGCAGAGAUGUUUGCCAAUGCUGGGAACAUUCAGGUACUCUAUACUAAUGACUUAUGAGAGGAAUCAUCGAAUCAUGAAUGCAACAAACACGAAGUUUCCUGAUGUGCUCAUUCCCUACAGAUGGGACCCAUGAUUUGGUUUUCCAAACUGUUGAUGUGAUGGGCCUCACACAGGAUGUCUCAUCAUCAUCAUCUAAGCCUUAUUCUGAGUGUUUCAAUAUAAACUGUUUGUACUCACAAAGUUUUAUUAGAAAACCCAAAUCUCUGAUAGCUUCUGGCAAUCCAUAUGAUUGCCCUAAUUGGAUUUCUCUUUACCAGCA